rnacentral:rRNA from 1 species
GCUUAAGGCCAUACCACCCUGUCUGCACCCUAUCUCGUCUGAUCUCGGAAGCUAAGCAGGAUCUGACCUGGUUAGUACAUGGAUGGGAGACAGCUUGGGAAUACCAGGUGCUGUAAGCU